AUUGAACGCUGGCGGCAGGCCUAACACAUGCAAGUCGAACGAGUGGCGGACGGGUGAGUAAUGUCUGGGAAACUGCCUGAUGGAGGGGGAUAACUACUGGAAACGGUAGCUAAUACCGCAUACCAUCGGAUGUGCCCAGAUGGGAUUAGCUAGUAGGUGGGGUAAAGGCUCACAUGGGCGACGAUCCCUAGCGGGUCUGAGUGGAUGACCAGCCAAACUGGAACUGGGACACGGGCCAGACUCCGACGGGAGGCGGAGGUGGGGAAUAUUGCACAAUGGGCGCAAGCCUGAUGCAGCCAUGCCGCGUGUAUGAGGAAGGCCUUCGGGUUGUAAAGUACUUUCAGCGGGGAGGCGGUACCCGCAGAAGAAGCACCGGCUAACUCCGUGCCAGCAGCCGCGGUAAUAC
rnacentral:rRNA from 1 species